GAUGAACGCUGGCGGCGUGCUUAACACAUGCAAGUCGAACGAACGGAGGAGAGCUUGCUCUCCAAAGUUAGUGGCGGACGGGUGAGUAACGCGUGGGUAACCUGCCCUAUGCAGGGGGAUAACGUUUGGAAACGAACGCUAAUACCGCAUAAACUAUCGAGUUUCGCAUGAAACUUAUAGCAAAGAUUUAUCGGCAUAGGAUGGACCCGCGUUGGAUUAGCUAGUUGGUGAGAUAACAGCCCACCAAGGCGACGACCCAUAACCGGCCUGAGAGGGUGAACGGCCACAUUGGGACUGAGACACGGCCCAAACUCCUACGGGAGGCAGCAGUGGGGAAUAUUGCACAAUGGGCGCAAGCCUGAUGCAGCAACGCCGCGUGAAGGAUGAAGGUCUUCGGAUUGUAAACUUCUAUCAGUAGGGAAGAAUAAAUGACGGUACCUAACUAAGAAGCUCCGGCUAACUACGUGCCAGCCGCCGCAGUAACAC
rnacentral:rRNA from 1 species